rnacentral:tRNA from 1 species
GCAAAUAGCUCAGUUGGUUAGAGCAUGGUGCUGACAAUGUCAAGGUUGCAAGUUUGAUCCCAGUAAGCUGCA